rnacentral:lncRNA from 1 species
GGGAUUCAUACGUUUUCUUGGGCUUAUGUGCACGAUCAGAGGAAGCCUCGUCCCAACUGAUUUGGGUGUUGUGCGUCCGUCAUCUAAGAGAAAAAAAAAAAAUGAAUGGCCACAUGUGCGUUUCUUUUCUUCGGCUCGUGUGUGCGUAUCACAAAAAAAAAAAAACGAAUCCAAUUCGUUGGCUUUCUAUGCGUAGAUCAAGAACGAACCAAAUUAAUUUAUGGGUUGUUGCUAUUUGUUUGCAUCGAUCGACAGUAAGAAAGAGGUAAAGUCGAACGUGAAGGUGAAGAUGGAGUUGGGUUGUGUCGAUCUAUGGCCGAGAGAGAGGAGGCGAGUAGGAAAGCCGAAGACAUCGAUUGUUUUGGACUCAAUUGAAGCUGUGGAAUUCGACUCAACAGGUAGCCUUCCCGACUUUUCAUCUUUCUCAUGUGAUUAAACUCCAAAGUUAUGGCAAUUUGAUUUAGUUAUGAGAUUGAAUUGCUUUUCAAUUGAUUAUAAUAAUCUUCUCCAUCCUACUCUCAAUUCUAGUGUUUAUGAGGGAGCAAGUACCAGCAGUGUGAGGUGUGUUCUUGGCUAUUUCUUGCUGUCAAAAUUCCUUUUGAAAACACUUCAUCACGUGUUGGAAUUGGUACUCAAGAAUUGGUUACAAUCUUGGAGCCAAAUGCUUUCUUUUGUUGUAAGAAUUCAUGUUUUUGUUAUCUUCAAUUCUCUUGGAUUCGUGUCAGUGAUUUCCUUCAUAUAAGACCUUGUUUUGAACUAUCCAAAAGGUCUUAAAAACAGUCCCUAAAAGGUCUUGAUGUGAAGCUUAAUGAUGGAGAAAAUUCAAGCCCUAGUGGUGUUUUCUCUUUUAGCAAAGUACUUUGUUUUUCCCGAUAUAAGCAAUGUACUUUGAGUCAUGGUUUGAGGUUGAAGUUGUUAUUUUAAUUUCUUGACAUGUUGCUACUGGCAAGUACUCAAUUUUAAUCUUUAUAGUUGAUUUUGGUUAUGGCUUAAUGGGUUAAGUGUCAAAUAACUCGCCGGGAAAUUCUGAAUAUUUCCCAUUCUGCCCCUGUUUUGAAAAAAAUGUAGAAAAAUCAUCAGAAGUCGUAUCAAUGAUCUGUAAACUCUCAAAGCUUUCAUUUUGAGUCUAGGUUGUCCAUGAAUUUUUCCAAGCCCUUUUGUUGCCUCCAACUUAGGUGAAAAUUGACUUUUUCACUGACUGGUCGGAAAUUAGCUGUAUGGAUAGACUGUUUUGCAAAAAUCAUAUAAAAUUGUAGAAAAAUCGUUUGGACUUUUAAAAGUACUUUCUGAAAAGCUAAAAGUAUAAACUACUGGAAUAUACAAAAAUACUGUAUAAUUUGCCGUCCUUGGUGGUGUUAAAAUGGCUUUGAACAUGUGGCUGUUACGGGUCAAAAUCUUGAACUUUGUUCUAAACGUUCGUCUAUAUGUUUAGACAUUCAACUCUCAACAUUUUUGUGUCAUCUGUUUGAUAUUCUUAUAAAGUACCCAAUCGAUGUCUUAAUACUAUCAUUCAAUCAUCUUGUGUGUAAAAUUGAGCAUCUAUAAUCAUUUACCUAAAGUUUUGAAUCAUAUAAUGAUUUUUGGUGAAUGUUAGAAUUCUGCACAACAACUUUUCCCCAUCUUGUGAGAGCUAUAGCUGCUAAUUCGGGCAGAAUUGGUAGAUGCUCCUCUCUCAUGUAGUUCUAGGAAAUCGAGUCUAGUUUCUAGAAAAUCCGAUGUCAUCCCCAUUAGAGCUGUAGAUUCUGUUUUAUGCUUAAAACACUAAACGGGGGUCGGGCUGGGAAAUUAUAAAAAAAAUAAUAAUAUAAAAGUUAGAAUAAAGUUGUAUCUAUUGAAACAUAUACUUUAUUUGUUAAUUGAAUGUUAUGUGUGGUGUUUAGGUGGAGCCUUGAGAACUUCAAGUAAGUUCAAGACUUGGAAUAGAAGGAAAUUUUCAUCAAGGCUAAAGGUGAGUUCAUAGUUUUAACUCACUAAGGUUGCAUUAUUGAAACUUGCAAUCUGUAGAUGGUGAUUUGCUUCACUUUAGGAUGACCAUGUCAUUAUUUGUGCUUGAUGAUGAUAUGAUAUUUGUGAUGCUAAAAUACGCUUUGUGCUAAUGCCAUGAUAUGACCUAAUUGCUAUGUUGCUUACACUUUGAUGUCCUUGAUGUAUACGACAUGCUAGCUUAAGUUACUUGAAAUAUGAUGUAUGUUUAUGUUUUGAUGUUUUGGUUAUGAAUACAUUGCAUGUUUAAUACACAUUUAUAUGGUAUGCAUUACAUGCUUUACUUAAUGUAUAAAUGACAUUGCGGGGUUAUGUGUAGUGGGUUUGGGUAGUUUGAUGAUCUUUGCCUAAAACCUUAUCUGGAUCAUUAAGGGUGCCUACUAGGUUGAAAGAGUACCUAUAGGAAGAGCUAUAGCCACAACGGUGAUUAGUUGUCGGUAUUUCUAGAUGAUCGUGUGACACAUGGUUUGCGGGCACUUCGGUGUUCGUGGGCUGGAGUGAUGUUGGUCCCUCGUUCGCGGCCAGCGCAAACAUCACGUGGGAAUCGGGAGGUGUAUCGUUGGAAUUGGCAUCGUUUGUACCGAUCCUGAACGACACCGCGGGGUACUUGUACUUUGCAAAGUCGGAGUAGCGAAAGUGGAGUCACGGGGUUGGUGUUUCGGGUGGAAGUCAUGAGCCACUUAGAGCAUUCAGCUGGCUGUGCACACAAGUAGUGAACAGGGUGUUUCUCUCGGGUUAGGUAGCACUAAGAGACACUUUUCUAUCAAUCGGUUGGAUAGAUAUAAUAAAAGGUUGAACAUGCAACAAACGGUUGGUUGCAUAUUAAAAAGUUGAAUAUAUAACAAAGGUUAAUUAUUAACAUAAGGUUGAACAUGUAACAAAAGGUUGGUUACAUAUUAAAAGGUUGAAUAUAUAUCAAAGGUUGCUUAUUAAUAAAAAGUGAACAUUUAACAGUUGCUUAUAUAUGAAAGGUGAUUAAUUAUAUGUUAUGCGGUUGCUUAUGUGGUAUUUGGUUGAUCAUAUAUGUUAUGUGGUAGAAUUGUGAUUAAACAUAUAUGCAUGUAUGCGGUUGAAUAAUUAUGAUAUGCGAUUGUUUUCUAAGUGGUAUUUGUCUAUCUUUUUGAUGCUUCAUCUUAAAAUGAAUGAUUGACCCAUUUGGGGUUUGUAUGUUUUAUGUGCAACUUUUUGAACUCACUCAGCAGGGGCUGACACUUGUAUCUUUUUUCUUUUGUGCCUUAUGAUUGGUACAAGCAGUUUAGAAGAUUAGCCUUGGUGAGAGGGGUUCUUAUGGGUAGUAGAUUUAUAUUAACGAUACCACUCUUGGAC